CACCUCCCCACGCCGGCAGCAUCCCUGGACGCCACCCCCCUCCCCGUCCUGCUGCACCUCCCACUUCGCGCGCUGCCUAUAGAAACCUGGGGUUUCUGGCUGGGCAUCGACAUUGGCGGCGGAUGCAUCCCUGUAGGCAGUCUUCCACUUGUCUCUGGUACCGAAGUAGACCUGUGGUGACCUUGCUUGGCAGCGGAUGAGUGGCGCUGCGGGUGACGCCAGAGAGGACACUGCUGUCCCGUCCUCGCGUCCUGCUCAGCAUCAACUAUGGCGAUGAGAGAGCUCGUUUUGUACUCUCAUAAUGGAACCCCAUGAUGGAGAGGCUGAUUAGUUGCCAACACGACCUCCUCUACCUCCUAGCGUGGUGCCCAUCAAAGCUUUAGAUGGUGCUAAGGAAUCACCACCAAGCAAAAAGCAUAUGAGGCUCCCAAUAGCAAUGAAUGGAUUGGGAAACAAAGGCCAGCCCAUCCAACUCAUCGCCAAUCACUUCAAAGUCUCCAUGAAAAGUUCAGAUGAAUUUUCCACUACUACUAUCUAACCGUGGAUGCAGCUUCUCAUGCUGCCUACAGAAACCUGGGGUUUCUGGCUGGGCAUCGACAUUGGCGGCGGAUGCAUCCCUGAAGUCAGGCUUCCACUUGUCUCUCGUGCCGAAGUAGACCUGUGGUGACCUUGCUUGGCAGCGAAUGAGGGGCGCUAAUGGCGUCACCAGAGAGGACAUCGCUGUCCUGUCCUCCCGUCCUACUCAUCAUCAACUAUGGCGAUGAGCUUCUCGCGCUGCCUAUAGAAACCUAUGCUUUCUGGCUGGGCACCGACAUUGGCGGCAGAUGCACCCCUGGAGCCAGCCUUCCACUUGUCUCUCGCGCCGAAGUAGACCGGUCGUGACCUUUGCUUGGCAGCGGAUGAGAGGCGCUGCGGGUGCCGCUAGAGAGGACACACCACUAUCUCGUCCUCUUGUCCUGCUCAGCAUCAACUAUGGCGAUGACGUAGUGCAUCUCUCUUGAACCCUACAGGGUUCCUAUGCGUGGUUAAUAUUAUGCUCAAGUAUUUUUUAGUAUUUUCUCAGGGAGAACGAUAAAUGGAUAGUUUCGUUGUGCUCACUUACUUUUGGAUUAUUAGUUAAACGAGAGCUCCCUUAAUUCCUGUAGUCCCUUCAUUUGGGUAUAUGUUUUUCUCUGUUUUCUACAAGGGCGAACUUCUGCUUGGCUUCGUGUUGGAUUCUUUGGGAAGAUUUUCCCUGCUUUAGUGUGAAGAUUUUUACUAACAAAUUCUGUCUUGUCUUCUUUCGCCUUCCCACGCAUAAAUCUUAAAACUCUCUCAUUUUAUAGAACAAAUAGAAAUAUGGAAAAAAUGCUCUAGACUAGACAGUGUUAUUAGUUUGUGACAAAGUGAGCACCACAACUGCUGUCUGUUCUUUUGUUAUACAUGAUGAUGCAUUUUAUUUGCUUCAUACUUGCAUUAUAUUAUAGGAACAAACAGUAUUAAUUUAUAUACUAAUUUGCACACUUUUUAAUCUAAUUUGUGAUUUCUGAGACAACAUU